UAUAAUCUAUUAACUGUAAUUUAAUUUAGUUAAAAAAUAUAUUAACUUACCCAGCCCUAAGAAUUAGUCAGCUAACCGCGCGGUAUUAAUGUACUACGGUCGUUUGAAAUUUGAAAUGAGGCAAAAAGGGAAGGUUUGAGCACGUACACUGUAGGUUUGAAUGAACGAAACGAGAAAUAUUAGCUCAGUGUAUAUCGGCUUUUACACAGGUAAACACGCGUUUGUUUAGAGCGGCCCGAGACUUCUCACAACUAUUGACUUAUUAACGCAUUGACGUGCAAGGUAUAUUAUAUUUUUGAAUGUGUUUUCGUAAACUGAGUAACAUACUUGUUCUAUUAUUGUGAAACUAAGCAAAGAAGAAAUGAAGAAUUAUCGAGAGCUGAGUUUGUUAGGUAAGAUAACAAUUGAAUUUUUAUACAAUAAUUUCCAUUUAUAAGAACACGUGGUAGCACUUAAUUUGCAUUUUUGUAUCACAUGUUUGUUUUAUAGAUUGAGUAUUGAAGAACAAGAUCUGUAUUUACAACAAUCAUUAGAUGACUUAGAUGCAGAAAGUUACAUAGAGUCGGAUAGUGACGAGGAGUAGUUGCCUCAGCAAGAGCACACCUCAAAACAAGCAACUACUGAUAUAGUAGUGUUAGAUAACACUAAGAAAUAACCCGAAAUCAAUCUUUACUAUAAUAAAUACAAACUUGGAGUCGACGCAAUGGAUCAAAUGAUUGAAAGGUAGUACAAGCCAGCGGUGUACUUUGAGAUGAUCGCUUUUCUAUAACAUCUCUUUUCUAUAACCUUCUCGUCUGUUAACCGCGGAAAUUGACGGAAACGGAGGCAGCUGCUGUUCCUCGGGCUCUGGUUGAGCCGCGCAAGGUUGCGUUGUUCGUGAUCCCGACCCGAUAGUCUUUUACGAUAUCCGAGGCGUGGAAGGCGUUUUCGUGCCUUAGGAAAAAGAUGUGGGCAAUAUGCCAGUUUUCCAGAUGCCUGCUGGCAAGGCUGUGAUAACCCUCUGGUUGACCGGAAAGGGUAUGCUUGGGGACGGCAAGUACUGACCGGGCGCUGGUAGCGGUAAAAGCAGGAUGAGAGCCGCCGAGAGAGAAAAUUAAAAAAUGCUUGGAUCGAAUUCUCCAUUCUAACAGUGGAGGGACGUGAAUUUGCAUUGAAUUAGGAGCUUGGCUUGUAUCACCGUGCAUCUCAAAAUAGUAAGGCGGAUUAUUAAAUAUUUUCGCGACUUCUAAAAGCCUUACAGGGAAUUUCGACUUCGUAGUCGAAAGUGUUAAUGAUCCUAGUACAGGCUUUAUCAUUAAUACAGAUUAUUAACAAAUUUCCGGCGAUGACUUUAUAGCGAGCGUGAAAGAUGUCCGGUUUUUAUUUUAGGGUUAAAAACCACGAAGCCCAGGUUUGUACGUGAUGGAAUCACCACCGAUUCUCUCUUCUUGAACGGGAAGGCGCUAUUACGCCAGGUAAUAUUAUUUCCGUAAUUUAUACAAGUCUUCUGUAAAAAAUGACGAUCCCAGUAUAUCUUGCGAUAUUAUAGGAAAAUUAUCUGGAACUAUGUAAAAAACCACGAGAACAUCGACUACGCGAGCCUUUAUAAAUCCUAGCAUUGACGGCUUUUUCUGUAAUCCAGGUAAGUGAGAAUAUGUCGUUACGAUUUAUAGGUACGUUUUUACUAAUGCAGCCUUUUUUUAGGAUGUUGGGCUAUGCGCCACAUACAUGCUACUGAUCGGACGGAAGGAUGGAGACUUGAGCUCAACGACGUACAUCUCCGUUAUCUUUCGAAGGAUGUGAAGAAACCUGGGAUGCACUCUAAUGGGAGUACGGGACGAGCGUUCCCAAGAACUCGGUGUGUCCGAUACCUCCGGGUAAUUUCCCGGCUUCUGUGUGAUAACAGUAUUCUCGUUAUUAAUCUUUGUACGAUUAUUAUUAUUUGAGUAAUUCGAGCGGUAUUGUCGUUUGCGACAUUUAUUAACUAGAUGACCGAAAUUCUUGCAAUAGCUACAGAUUUUACAUUCACUAUUAUCGCCACUGUUUUCCGAGAUGGAGAAAUUACUUUCAGAGAGAAUUAGACGUAUCGCGUUGAAGCAUUGUAACGGGUACGACAGUCGAGUCGUCGCGUAAGUUUCAUGUACUCCUAUAGCGGGCUUCCUCUCUUUCAAGUCGUUUGCGUAUAAUUACUUACGUAUAAUUACGUAUUAUGGUUUUAGAACAUGCAUCCGAGAAGUUAAUAUAUCCUGCUUUUAAUUCUAGGCGGUAUUCACGGGGAAGUCCCUUCGUAAAAAGCUUCUAACUCGUACAAAUCUAUUGAGUAUAUUACUGAUUCAGUCAGCGGAUGAUUAAGCGUAGUUUGAUCACCUUCGACAAUCGCGGUUCUCAAAUCUUUAAUGCAACUAAUGUAAUCUAAUAUGUGUUCUCCCAGUUUUUUGUAGGCGAUGCGAAGCUGUCCGCGAUAAUAGUUCGCGCUUCUACGUGAUCCGAAGGCCCUUUUUAAAGCGUUGAGAAAUUUAUCAAAUAUAUCACUGUAAAGUGAGUUACGUCCUCUACCGCUAAGUAUGCAUGGUGCAAUAAUUUAUUACGUAAAAUUUUUAUGAAGAGCGCUUCGUCGACUAACGAGAUUGAUUCUUUUGCUCUUUUGCAGGCGCGAACAAACUACAAUACGGGUACAUUAUGCCUGUCAUAUUUAGACUCUAAUUCGAGUGUGUCGAGAAUAUAUGAUUUAAAAUAGGCGGAGUUGCUAGAGAAAGCAGAUGUGUCGCGAGGAAACUGUGCUGAAGAGUAUGCGAAGUGAAACGGCCGCGGCGUCGGGAAAGUUGGUGCAACUCCAUUAUGUACGUCGCACAGAGUAAAUGUAGAAGAUACAACAGUUUGGUUAAUGGACUAGGCGCUACUGAUAUUAUAGCUUUUAGCAUGUUUUUGAGGAGCUCAGUACCACAGCUUAAUUCUUUUUUUUUUCUUACGUCCUUAAUAGCUUUUUCAUAAUUGGUGUGAUCGUCGGCCCUUAAUUCGGAGAGCCUCGCGUAUUCGGAGCUGCGAUGUAAUUGAUCGUCUGUGCCGGCCAUCUCUAUCAAAUUUGCUGGUAUUUAUAUUAAUGAGUAUUUAUUAUAAAUCUAAGCUCGAUGCAAUAAAGAAAAUAAUCGAAAAUUAUCUCUUUACUUCGUACCGCAAGAGAUUUAGAUAUAAGUAUUUUUGUAAUUAUAGCGUUUAAUAAACAAUUCUAACAAUAUAAAUAUUUUAAUUUAUAUACAUAAUUCUAUCUUUUCUUCCAGCCAAGAAUCAAUUUAUAAGUAUCGAGGAGCUCGCAGAAAAGAAAAAAAAAA